AACGAACGCUGGCGGCAGGCCUAACACAUGCAAGUCGAGCGAGGACUUCGGUCCUAGCGGCGGACGGGUGAGUAACGCGUGGGAACGUGCCCUUUGCUUCGGAAUAGCCCUGGGAAACUGGGAGUAAUACCGGAUGAGCCCUUUGGGGGAAAGAUUUAUCGGCGAAGGAUCGGCCCGCGUUGGAUUAGGUAGUUGGUGGGGUAAUGGCCUACCAAGCCGACGAUCCAUAGCUGGUUUGAGAGGAUGAUCAGCCACACUGGGACUGAGACACGGCCCAGACUCCUACGGGAGGCAGCAGUGGGGAAUCUUAGACAAUGGGGGAAACCCUGAUCUAGCCAUGCCGCGUGAGCGAUGAAGGCCUUAGGGUUGUAAAGCUCUUUCAGCUGGGAAGAUAAUGACGGUACCAGCAGAAGAAGCCCCGGCUAACUCCGUC
rnacentral:rRNA from 1 species